GACGAACGCUGGCGGCGUGCUUAACACAUGCAAGUCGAACGGAAAGGCCCUGCUUUUGUGGGGUGCUCGAGUGGCGAACGGGUGAGUAACACGUGAGUAACCUGCCCUUGACUUUGGGAUAACUUCAGGAAACUGGGGCUAAUACCGGAUAGGAGCUCCUGCUGCAUGGUGGGGGUUGGAAAGUUUCGGCGGUUGGGGAUGGACUCGCGGCUUAUCAGCUUGUUGGUGGGGUAGUGGCUUACCAAGGCUUUGACGGGUAGCCGGCCUGAGAGGGUGACCGGCCACAUUGGGACUGAGAUACGGCCCAGACGCCUACGGGAGGCAGCAGUGGGGAAUAUUGCACAAUGGGCGGAAGCCUGAUGCAGCAACGCCGCGUGCGGGAUGACGGCCUUCGGGUUGUAAACCGCUUUCGCCUGUGAUGAAGCGUGAGUGACGGUAAUGGGUAAAGAAGCACCGGCUAACUACGUG
rnacentral:rRNA from 1 species